UGAAAUGUGGCUCAGUGGUAGAGCCCUUGUCUAGCAUGUACAAGGACCUGGGUUUGAUCACUAGCAUCGCAA
rnacentral:tRNA from 1 species